rnacentral:misc_RNA from 1 species
AAGCGCUAGUCGAAAUAGGCUGCGAUAGCCGCAUCAUCCUGUUCAUCCAGCAGCGUCGUCGAAAAUGGCGAGGGUUCCCCCCGUCGGCUGCACUCAGCUUCAAUACGAUCUAUGGCGUCAAGAACGAACAGCUUUUCGACUCUAAACUUCUUCUUCCACUGUUGCGGCUCGAAGGUUACCCACGCUGAAAACUCUUGCAAGCCUCUUCCCCAGUCGAAAAUCGAGCCAUCUC